rnacentral:rRNA from 1 species
UACAGAGGUCCCAAGCGUUGUUCGGAUUCACUGGGCGUAAAGGGUGCGUAGGCGGUCGGGUAAGUCUGAUGUGAAAUCUCACAGCUUAACUGUGAAACUGCAUUGGAUACUAUCCGGCUAGAGGAAUGGAGGGGAGACUGGAAUACUUGGUGUAGCAGUGAAAUGCGUAGAUAUCAAGUGGAACACAAGUGGCGAAGGCGAGCCUCUGGACAUUUCCUGACGCUGAGGCACGAAAGCCAGGGGAGCAAACGGG